rnacentral:lncRNA from 1 species
CCUGAUCCCAAGAGACCGUCCCUACCAUCCCUUUUAAACUUCUGGUUUACUUCUAAAGUGUUCUUCUGUCCAUGCCAUGUAUUAGCUGUUUUCUAUUUCUAUUCUAGCUGCCUGUACCGUGAGGACAAGCUUACGAGUGGCCUCCGACCCAAAUGCAUGUGCACGGCUCCCAGUCUUUGUAGCUGUAUUGCUCCAGGGACUUCUCCGUCAAAGCAGGGAACGGGACAACCUAUCACCUCUGCUGGUGCCAGAGGGAGGACAAAUGCUCUUUAUGAAGAUUCCUGGUCUCAGAAUCAUCUCUGGAGUGCAGACUGACAUCUCAUUGCCUCCUCUUUAAGUUCUAACAACUAGGUAACAAUUUCAGAUUGAAGCUCAAUUCAAAACCAAGGCACUAGUAUAAAGCAUUAUCAUUUUAGUGAAAAUGUAGUCACCAUUGAUUUUGGUUGUUCCUAUUUGGUUGAAAACUUAGGAAAUUUUUGUUUAGUGUUUCACCCUGCCAUUAUUUAUAACUGCGACUCACUGUACUUUAGUCACUUUAAACAAUCUGGUUGCUAGAGCCAAAGACAAUCCCAAACCACACAGAUUUAAAUGUUUAAGCAAAUCAAUGACAUUAUUAAUUCAUAAAUCCCAUGUUAGCAAUCUGUAGAAAGAAUGUUUGCUUUACCACAUACAACUAAACGAUACAGAUGGAUAUGUAAUUUCUGCUGAAGCAUGAUCCUCAUUCAAGAGGAGUUUUAGCAUUUUUGUGUUUAUCUUUUGUCAGCACAUUGCAGAAUGAGUUCAAUUAGUUCACAAAUAACUGAAG